rnacentral:rRNA from 1 species
GGAUUAGAUACCCUGGUAGUCCACGCCGUAAACGAUGUGUGCUAGACGUCGGGUGUUCAGCAUUCGGUGUCGGAGCUAACGCAUUAAGCACACCGCCUGGGGAGUACGGCCGCAAGGUUAAAACUCAAAGGAAUUGACGGGGGCCCGCACAAGCGGUGGAGCAUGUGGUUUAAUUCGACGCAACGCGCAGAACCUUACCAGCCCUUGACAUCCCGGUUUUGGGGAGUGGAGACACACCCUAUCAGUUCGGCUGGACCGGAGACAGGUGCUGCAUGGCUGUCGUCAGCUCGUGCCG